GACGAACGCUGGCGGCGUGCUUAACACAUGCAAGUCGAACGGAAAGGCGCUGGAUGUAGGGUACCUGAGUGGCCAACGGGCGAGUAAGACGAGGGUGGUCUGCCUUGCUCUUAGGGAUGAGCCAGGGACACUAGGUGGAGUACCAGACCGGAGAAAUUUUUAGGGUGAAGGUUGGAAAGUUUAGUAGGUGUAUGAUGCGCUCUGGGCCUAUCAGCUUGUAAGUGGGGUAUUGGGCUACCAAGGCGGAGACGGGUAGCCGACCUGAGAGGGUGGACGACCACAUUAGGACUGAGAGACGGCCCAGACUGGUACGUUAGGCAACAGGGGGGAAUAUUACACAAUGAGCGCGAGCGUGAUGCAACGACGCCUCGUGGGGGAAAACUGCCUUCGGGUGGAAAACUCCUUUCGCUAGGGACAAAGCAUUUUGUGACGGUACCUAAAUAAAAAGCGACGGCUAACUACGUG
rnacentral:rRNA from 1 species